rnacentral:rRNA from 1 species
GACGAACGCUGGCGGCGUGCUUAACACAUGCAAGUCGAGCGAUGAAGUUUCUUCGGAAAUGGAUUAGCGGCGAACGGGUGAGGAGCACGUGAAGAAUCUGCCCUCCACUUUGGGAUAACACAGGGAAACCUGUGCUAAUACCGAAUAUUGAAACAUAAGUGGCAUCACUGAGUUUUGAAAGAAUUUCGGUGGAGGAUGACUUCGCGGCCUAUCAGCUAGUUGGUGAGGUAAUGGCUCACCAAGGNAACACGGGUAGCCGGCCUGAGAGGGCGACCGGCCACACUGGGACUGAGACACGGCCCAGACUCCUACGGGAGGCAGCA